rnacentral:tRNA from 1 species
UGUUCUGUGGGUUAGUUGGUUAAAGCGCUGGCCUGGCGAAUACGGAGUCGUGGGUUCGAAUCCCUUCAGAACAG